CUGAAGUACACCCUCGUGGGAAUUUUACCAGUAAGCCUAUGGUCUCAUGAGUCUUCUUAAGUAUCCCCUGUGGAUAGGCCAAGGAUCCCCGGUUGGGAACCACUGAUCUAGGCAAAUUUUCAUCCUUAAUUGGACCACCUAACGAUUGCCAUCACCAUCAUGAGUGCAGCCAGGAUAGUCAUGGCUAGAACAAAUCCAGCUUUGGUAAAUUAAGGUCAAAAGGUCAUGCGUUUAGCAUUUUACCUAACCAUAACACCUUUUCUCACCGUAACCUAAUUAUCCUAACCUUCUAAGUUAAUUAUUCUAACCUGCUGCAUAAGCACUUCUAACCAUGACCCCAGGAGAGGAGAGCAACCCCAGCCAAAGCAAACUUGUGUAGGCUUGAACGGUUUCCAGGGAAGCCGUUGCUAUCAACAAAGUGGGCCAUAAAACACCAAGAAAAAAGCACUGAGAACCCGAUCAGUCUCACCACCCCUACAUGUGCACGUGAAUGAGACCACGCCUGUGCAUGUGUGCCUGUGAAGAAGAGUAGGAGCCCUGCCAAGACACCACAGGGUAAGACUAAGGGCGAUGGAGGGAACCUGCGAACUACUGCAAAGGUCAAGACACGAGUGCCGUGGAUACCGCCUGGGAAGGCCUCCAUACGGGAUGCCUCCUACAAAUGGGAGGGGCAUACUCAUCGUCUGGAGAUCACAGCAUUACCUCAGUCUGAGAUCUCCCACUCUCUGCUGCGAUUUGCCGACCUCUCGUCAGAGGAGAGGAAGUGCUGCAUGGACGAAUCAACCAGUACGAGAGGAAGAUUGACAGCCUGAUGACUGAGGUGGAGCUGCGAAAUAAGGAGCAGCUGCUGGAGAGGCAGUCUGAGAAACUUAGCGCCUCCCAGCAGGUCAUCGAGGAGCAGGAGGAGAAGCUGGCCGAGGUGUGCAAUGAGCUGGAGGUCACGGAGAGGGAGAACUCCCGCCUGCGCCACUCCAUGGAGAAGAUGCUGGACGAGAGCGACUGCACCACCAGACAGACGCACUUGAAACCAUAGUUUAUUUUAAUUGACUUUGUUUCCGUAACGUUACAGCUUUAACUUAUUUUCUUAUUUUUGCCCUGUAUUAAAAAUGUACUGUAUUUUAUGGAUAGUGUUAGUCAGAAAGUAGAGAGGGAAACAGAUAGUGAGUGGCAGACAGAGAGGAAGAUGGGAUUCAAUACCCUGUUGCCUGCAGGUAUGAGUUGUCCAGAGUUGUUAUGACUGUGAUGAUGAGCCAUGAUUCUCAGACGCUUUUAACUCAUUAAUAGUCCUUGUAAUAAAAUAAGGUCUAUUUAGUA